GCCACAGCUGAAGGAAAACCACCUGGCUCGUGGCUCCCUAAGGCUCUGUCCUGAUCAUUUCUGAAAAGCCACAGAAGCAAUUUCCCUGUUAACGCUACCAAGGCACAAGCUCUGAUCCGACACUGGUUGCUUGGCAACAGCACAAACACAAUGGAGGAAAGGCGGGAGACCUGCCAUAGGGCGUGGAGACACCAGUGCAUAUCAAGAUGAACUGAAUCAGAUUGGAAACGUGCAUGCAAGCAAACCAGAAGUGAAAUAGUUACCAGGGGAGUUAAAAUCUACUGUAAUUACUCGGUGAACAAGGGUGCAUACAAGCACAGCCUUAUCAUCAGUUAAAAACAUGAGAACAGGCUGGGCACAUCAUCCUUCCAGCUAAAGCAUAGACACAGCCUGCUCUUUCUACCGUUACAAUCAAUUUGUUCCAUCAGGAGCUAGAAAAGCUCCUGUCCUCUGUUUGAAAGAGACACUCAGACAGCCUGGACUGGAUGUUUAUACCACUUUGGAACAGACACUGGAUGCGUUCCAGCUGGGGAAGAUUUCAGACUUCCGAAGCAGCAGGAGCCCAGAGUGGUGGACAUGGUUAUGCUAAUCAUCACAACAACCCUGUGAGGAGAAAAGAAAAGAGAGAAGAAAAGAAAAGAAAAGAAAAGAAAAAGAAAAGAAACACAGGGACAAAGAAAAGAGGAGAUUUGUUUUACAAUGCCAAUGGAGCACACAUUCAGCACCAGGUCUCCCCUGGCACACACAGUGCCAGCACUGGAAAAGCAUCAAGAGCAGGCAGCCCAUGCAGGCUUGGCUGGAGGCACAACGCUCCAUCCAUGCAGCUCAUGCUGCUGCAGAGCACUGAAGACUGCUGAGCAAGGCCAAUGCACAGUCAGGAGGGAGACCCAUGCUUGUCGUAUUUUGCCGUGCAGGAAGCACACAGAUCUCAAAGAUUAAGCUGUGCUCUCUGCUCUAUUGAUAAACAAGCUUAUGGGGCAUAGCUGAAUGGGGCAGUGCAUGGUUGAUUGGGUCAAAAGGACGUGAUCAAUAAGGGCCAAUUAGACCUUUGUGUUCCCCCCUCCUCCUUCUCACAAUUGUCCUUGAUUCCUGAAUGCCUGGGUCUCUGUAAGAGAAAGCAGGAGGAAAGUCCUCCAGGACAAGGGGCUUCAAUAGUUCCUUGAGGGGAAGGGCUGUAGGUUAGUGGUAGAACAGAUGCUUAACAUGCAAAAAGUCCUAAAUUCAAUCCCUGGCAUCUCCAGGUAGGGUGAGGAAACCCAGAGAUCUGAAACCCAGAGAUCUGAAACCCAGAGAUCUGCUUUCAGUCACUGUAGCAGGAAGGACCCAGGGAAGGUCUGACUCAGUAGAAGGCAACUUCCUAUGGUCCCAUGAUUACCGUGCUGGCUUGGGAUAGCUCCACCCGGAUAUUGAUUAGCUGGUUCUGGAGGGAUUCCUUCUUGUGCAGCAGCUUUUCAGGGUAGGCUGGCUGACUCCCAAACAUCUCUAGUUCCUGGUGUGUCCCCAUAAGUGCACUCUCUAGGCUCUCCUAGUGGUGAGAAUAA